ACGUAGGGUGCAAGCGUUAAUCGGAAUUACUGGGCGUAAAGCGUGCGCAGGCGGUUUCGUAAGUCAGAUGUGAAAUCCCCGGGCUUAACCUGGGAACUGCGUUUGAAACUACAGAACUAGAGUGUGGCAGAGGGGGGUGGAAUUCCAGGUGUAGGAGUGAAGUGCGUAGAUAUCUGGAGGAACAGCAGUGGCGAGGGCGGCAAACUGGACCGGUAGUGACGCUGAGGUGCGAAAGCGUUGGGAGCAAACAG
rnacentral:rRNA from 1 species